rnacentral:rRNA from 1 species
UACGGAGGAUGCAAGCGUUAUCCGGAAUGAUUGGGCGUAAAGCGUCCGCAGGUGGCUGUGUAAGUCUGCUGUUAAAGAGUGAGGCUCAACCUCAUAAAAGCAGUGGAAACUACACGGCUAGAGUGCGUUCGGGGCAGAGGGAAUUCCCGGUGUAGUGGUGGAAUGCGUAGAUAUCGGGAGGAACACCAGUGGCGAAGGCGGCUACCUGGACCGGUUCUGACACUGAGGAGCGAAAGCGUGGGGAGCGAUCCGG